rnacentral:rRNA from 1 species
UGUCGGAGUUGUUGCUGGCCUCUAGGGGCAUGUGCACGCUUCACUAGUCUUUCAACCACCUGUGAACUUUUGAUAGAUCUGUGAAGUCGUCUCUCAAGUCGUCAGACUUGGUUGCUGGGAUUUAAACGUCUCGGUGUGACUACGCAGUCUAUUUACUUACACACCCCAAAUGUAUGUCUACGAAUGUCAUUUAAUGGGCCUUGUGCCUUUAAACCAUAAUACAACUUUCAACAACGGAUCUCUUGGCUCUCGCAUCGAUGAAGAACGCAGCGAAAUGCGAUAAGUAAUGUGAAUUGCAGAAUUCAGUGAAUCAUCGAAUCUUUGAACGCACCUUGCGCCCCUUGGUAUUCCGAGGGGCAUGCCUGUUUGAGUGUCAUUAAAUUCUCAAACUCACUUUGGUUUCUUUCCAAUUGUGAUGUUUGGAUUGUUGGGGGCUGCUGGCCUUGACAGGUCGGCUCCUCUUAAAUGCAUUAGCAGGACUUCUCAUUGCCUCUGCGCAUGAUGUGAUAAUUAUCACUCAUCAAUAGCACGCAUGAAUAGAGUCCAGCUCUCUAAUCGUCCGCAAGGACAAUUUGANCAAUUUGACCUCAAAUCAGGUAGGACUACCCGCUGAACUUAAGCAUAUCAAUA